UACGUAGGGGGCUAGCGUUGUCCGGAUUUAUUGGGCGUAAAGAGCGUGUAGGCGGUCAGGUAGGUCCGUUGUGAAAACUCGAGGCUCAACCUCGAGACGCCGAUGGAAACCAUCUGACUAGAGUCCGGAAGAGGAGAGUGGAAUUCCUGGUGUAGCGGUGAAAUGCGCAGAUAUCGGGAAGAACACCCGUGGCUAAGGCGGCUCUCUAGUACGGUACUGACGCUGAGACGCGAAAGCGUGGGGAGCGAACAGG
rnacentral:rRNA from 1 species